AAAAAGGGCUUCUGUCUGAGUGGCACACAGAAGGCAACUCGAUAGCUCUUCAUGCAGAACCAACAUCAAGAGAUUUUGGGAGGAUAAUUUUGUGGUACUUGGGCAGCUGGUGAUCAUUGGUCCCAGCACUCUU
ensembl:snRNA